CCGUGCUAGGUGGGGAGGUAGCGGUUCCCUGUACUCGAAAUCCGCUUUAUGCGAGACUUAAUUCCUUUGUUGAGGGUGUGUUUUUGUGAAGUCUGCCCGAAGCACGUAGUGUUUGAAGAUUUCGGUCCUAUGCAAUAUGAACCCAUGAAUCAUGUCAGGUCCUGACGGAAGCAGCAUUAAGUGGAUCCUCAUAUGUGCCGUAGGGUAGCCGAGAUUUAGCUGUCGACUUCGGUAACGUUUGUGAUACACACUCGAUUCGAAGGUGUACGG
rnacentral:SRP_RNA from 13 species